UAAAAAUUUGAAUGUGUCCUAUCAGCAUAGGUACUUAAAAAUUCCAAAAACCAUUAUUUAAGAUAAUAGGUUUAGGUUGGGGUUACCUAGUUAAAAAAAACGCCUUGUAUACCUAUUUGACGUUGUUGUGAACCAAGAGAUUUCCAAAAAAUGUACACAGUGUAGGAAGCAGGAUGAAAAAAAACACGACCACUGCUGAGAAAAUUAAAUUGUCGUAGUUUGUGUGGUGGAGCAAUUAUUGAUACGUGCACGUGCAUCUUAAAGAAAUUCGUGGAAAAAAACAUUCGAUUGCGUGGACGUGCCGAGGUAACUUUUUAAUGGUAUCGAAACUUUAGCGACUUUUUAUACGAUAAAACGAAACGAACCAUUUUUUGACGUGAACUGGAAAAAAGUAAAAACCAGUGGUCUUAUACAUAGUUAUACCUCCGCAUAUUAUCUUUGGAUUAUAAAUAUCUGAAAAAAAUUGUAUAACUCACAAUGUUCCAUCACGAUACACUUGCGUAUUGCAUAAUAAUAUUAUUUUAUAUUAUGUACCAACCUAUGAUGUGAACGACUUUAUAAUAUAUGCGUAUAGAGUAUAUUAUUAUAAUGAUCACCAUCGUUCUCAAUACAUCAUAAUCAUAAUAUUAAUAUCACGACAUUUUAGAAUAUCGUUAACCAUGCUGGUCUUUUUUGAAAACUCUCCUUCAAAAUCUACCGUCACUUACAAUAAAUUCGAUACGACAUUAAUAACUCACUUAAUAUUAUAUAAUGUUUAUUAACACGGCGUCUAUUCGCACAAGGCGCUGUUGAUACGAUGAUUGAACGGCGUUAAACUUAAAUAUUAUAUUAUUAUGUAUAUUUUAUUAUUAAAUUCUUUCGUAAAACGAUGUUGUUUACUUUGGGUUUCAUGGUUUUAAUUAUAUACUCAUAUACAAUAUACAUAUAUUAUACAAAUUUCACCAACAGCUUGGCAUUACGUUAGAAUACUCGCGUAUAAUACAUAAUAAUACAAUAAUAAUAAUAACAAUACGCCGUAGCACCAAUAUGCUCCACGCAAAGAUACAAUAAUAAUAAAAUAUGUAAUCCGGUAAGCAUAAAACGAAACGACCGUUAAAUUUAAAAGAAAUAAUAAAAACGAAUUGCCGAGUUAGUUUUUAUUAUUGGUUAAUAUUUGUCGUUAUCCGGGAAACGUUUCAUAUACUUUUCGAAAAUUGUAUUAUGCUCUUUUUAUUACGAACUGCAUGCUUUAUAAUAAUCUGCGUAUAUUUUAUUCUUUUAGGCUCUGUGAUGUGGAGCGAGGGAAUCGUUGGUUUUAUAUCAUACGAUGCGAGUUUUUCCCGUCAUUUUUUCCGCAAAAAAAUUUUUUCACCGGUACAAACAGCACGAGAAAUUUUACGCAACUCAGUAGAUUGGAUAAUAUUGAUUACAGCAGACCGUGCAAUGGUCGUUUUUAAGAUUCCCCGACAUGCUAGCUUAUAUUUUUGUAAUUUAAAAAAUAAAAUUGCAAGGAAUUGCAUGCAGUAUAAAAACAAUCUCAGCAAAUUGUUUUUGUUUCCGUGCAAAUUGAUGCCGUCGAAAAUAUGUUCAAUAACCUAAUAACAUAAUAUUAUAAUUAUACUAUAAUAUAGGAUGUUCAAUAAAUAACUAGGUAAUUACUACGCUGCGUGUUAAGUCGGCUGUAAAUGGAAACCAGAUAGCCUUUUUUAAUACAAUAAUAUUAUAAUAUAUCCUGACACAUGUCAUGUUUGAUUUUAGUCUAAAAAGUAUGGAGUGCCACGGGUAUUUAAAAUUGUAUAAUGAUCAAAAUUAUGUAUAAUAUUAUUAUGUAGGUAUAUAAUAAUGUAGUCAUUGUACAUCACAUAUUCACACAAUGUAGUAAAUAUAUACAAUUGUAUGCAAAUUUUAAAUUAAUAUAAGUACGGCAAUAUUACUGUAUCUGCAUUACCUAAUUCGAAUCCGAUGUAAUAAUGAAAUGUAUUCGAGAAAAACGAAAUCGAAUUGACACUUUUAUUUUUAUAAUUUUGCGAGUGGAUGAUUGAUAUUACCUAUUGUUUAUCAUUACCGUUGAUUAAAUUACCCUAUUAUGUACAUUACGCUUAUAUAUAAUAUAUUUUAUGAUAUCAUCGAGUUUAUUGCAUAUUAAUAUUAUAUAAUAUAUCAUACGAGCAAACCAUAAUAAUUAUACCUACGGCCCACAUCGCUGCAAUAACGGUGGAUAUUGAUGGUUUUAGAGUUAAGACAAACAUCGCAUAUAGACGACCUCUCCAUUUAUCAUCUCAUGUCAAACGUUAUAUUAUCCGGAGUAAAAGACGUUUAAUAACGAUUUGUGGGCGAGAAAUACGAGCAGCACGCUUCCGCUCGCAGUUUCUAUCCCCAUGUAUAGUAUAAUAAUAUCAAUAAUGUGCAAUAUAAUAUCAAAUAUGUGACGAUUAAUUGAGAGUGAAAAAAAUCGAUCGGGAAGAACAAGCGCAAACGCGUCUUGCCCGGACAAAAUACCUACGUCAUAAUAAUAUAAGAAUAUACUACGUAUAGUCUUCGCGUAUAGAAUAAUGGGUGACACCGACGAUAUUACUAUUACGUGAAUGUAUAAUAUAUUUAUUUAAAUUGGCAAUCGUUACACACAUAUAUAGUAUAAUAUUAUAUAGAUAAACAUAAUAUAUAAGAGCGUCGGACUGAUUCGGCAAUGACCCGGAUUCGCAUUAUUCCGAGGUCACGACUUUACAAAGGCCAUACUAUACGAUGAUGACGAUUAUCAUCAUACGUACCAUGCAGAUGAUAAUAACAAUAAUAAUUAAGCAACGCGUAUGUGUAUAUUAUACAAUAACUACAACAGUAGCAGCUGCUAGAAAUAUCCAAUAAAGAUAGUAGUGAUGCACGGCUAUUCACCAUCUGUUGAUUGAGACCACUGAUAACGUAUCGUGUACAAUAUAACAUUAUGCAUAUUGCUACCGGAAAUACGAUUAUUUCUAUAGUUUAUUAUUACUAUUAUUAUUGUUGUUGUUGUUGCUUGCUGUAGGUAGGCAGUAGAUACGCCUAGAUAACGCUAAUUGAACGUUUAUCUCUCCCGUUUCCGUAUAUUAUGAUUUUGAGCUAUGUUCGUGACGUCGUGUAUAAUAAUAAUUGUAAUACAAGUAUACGACACAAACUAUACAACAAUAUAAUAAUAUCAUUCAUCGAUUAGGUAAUAAUAAUCAUUGUUCACUAGUUGCAAUAUAAAAACCGUACGAAUGACUACUGUCCAUCGGAGAAGUGAUGCGAGUAGAUAAGGCAUAUUGUCAUGAUUUGUAGGUGAAAUUUCAACUAACGUAAUACUAUUUCAGACUAGAUACGAAACAAUAUCUAAUGUUAUGUAUUGGUCACGUUGUUUUUUAAGAGUGUGCGCUACACCUACAAGAUUAUUAUAUUAUCAACUAUCCAUAAAUAUAUUUUGGACAUGAAUAGUAAAGGUAGACAUUACCGUUACAAAGCUUGCGUCCGUUGAGUAUAUUUGUAUUUGAAGAAUUUGCAAGUUGCAAACACCUAUAAUUACAAUGUUUGGUAAACGACAUUUAAAUGAAUAUAAUAUAAGUAUUAUAAUUUUUUGACAUUAUUCUGACAGUCGCAAGAUAUUUAUAUUCCUUACCUACAUUAUUAUUAUCAUUAAGGAUCGACCACCUACACGACUUUUAGAAGAUAAAAUGGAAGAAAGCUGCACGUGCAGCUUAUUUUGUUUACUAUAGCUCGAAGGUCAAACUUCAAAAAUAUUGUCCUCGUUCAUCUCCGUAAUAGGUACUUCUUGUCUAAAGCCUAAUGGGAUGGAUAUUUCUCGGGAAUACGAAAAUGAGGGGUAGGUAGAUACAUUAAUGUGAGUAAUGCUUAUAGAAUAGACCAAGACAGUAAAUAAUGGUGUAGCAUCCUCGAAUGCCGCAGUAUAUUAAUAUUGUCUAUACAUAUAUUUUAAACGUUAUUAUUAAUAAUUUUCAAUGAUAUACUUAACAAACAUCAGGGUAGUAAUUUGCCCUAAGCAAACAAAAUAUCUGGAGAGUAUAAUUAAUAGUUUUUCAAGAGUUAACAAAAGAUUUUUUAUAAAUAGAUUUUUGUAGCACCUAAUUUAUAGUCAGUAUAGUAGCAAAUAGUCACUUUUGCUCAUCACUAUUCCAUAGGUACUACUACAUAUAGUACCUAGGUAGAAAAUAUAAAGACUGUGAGAUCAUUUAGAGCUAGUGUUCUAAGUUUAUUCACAAUUUAAGUAUUUUAUUUUUGUUCUUGCGUUAAAAUUGGUUAAUUUUUAGUAAGGGUAGAUCAAUUUUGGACAAUUUCAACAAAACAAAUUAAGUAAUAUAAUAUUAGGUACAAUAUUAUAUGUAUUGAGGUUCCGUUUUUUUAAAGAAUAUAUAAUACAUCUUAUAUUGUAUAUUUUAAUGAACAAUUACUAUACUUUUAAUCAAUGUUUUUUGUUGGUGUCAUUUUUGCCUUUAGGCAUUAUGCUAAUGAAGUACGCACAUUGCACAUGUACAUAACACCGGGCGGUUCAUAUUAUUAGUGACAUAAUAUAUUAUAAUAAUUUAUCAACGAAAAACAACAAUUUAUUUUAUACUAUUAUAUUUUUAGUCGCAGUAAUAUCAUAUUAUUAUACAACGGUUCCACUAACGCCUGCAAUAGCUAUUAACGAGCACACAUUCACUUCUUAAAGUUAAAUAACAAUACCUAAUAUGUAUAUUACGUUGAGUUACAAUUGUACGAAAUUCGAUUAUAUGCACUUAGAGAGAUAACAAUAAUAAUAUGCCUACUAGAGCCACCGUGUUUGUUCUGAAUCGACUAUAAUAAAGAUAAUAAAGAAUAUUUGGCCUUUGGCCCAAAAAACAAAACGUUAAUCACUUAACGCGAAUCAUUAUUCUCCCAGAAGGUAUAGUACUAUAGUAUGAUGUUUUUGUCAAAAUAUUUUUUAAUCAUUGAAUGCACGAAUACCUACCUACUACCUACCUACAAGCUGUUUGUACGAAUAAAGUAUAUUAAUUCUCGUUUUCUAUAUAAAAGCUAUUACUUGAGAUUGAAAAUUCUGAAAAUGUCCGUUUUUUUAUAUUCUAUUUUUUUAAAACACGUUUAGUUCAUUUUGUUUCAAUUUUUUUUUCUGUUAUCUAUAGUUUAAACAAUACAUUAUUGCUAUCAUUAUUGUAUGCAUCAUUGAAUACAAAUGAAAUUGGACCGGUGAUUCGGAUUAAAAAAUAAAUAAACUCUAAAUAAAAAGGUAAAAGGUUUUCAUAUAGUAAAAUAUAUAAACUGUUGUCAUGUCACUUUAGUUGAUUGAAUAAUUAUAAAGUUAAUAAUAUUUUUAAUUGUUGAUAAAAAUACAUUUCCCUCAUAUUUUCCGUGUAUAGUCAGCUAAGAUUAACAUUAACACAUUAACAUGUAAAUUAUUCAUAUUAUACCUAAUAUAGGUAUAUAAUAAAUCACGUUACGUAUAUUUUGUUAUUAUAUUAUAAAUAAUUACGAGUAUAAUGUUAAUUGUUAAUUGGUUUUCUAGUAGGUAAUUCUAAUCUUAAUUUUUUUUAAUACAACAGUGUGUGGAGCUAUCAACUAUACGUGCAUUAUAGUGAAACAUAUUAUGUCUGUCUUUAAAAUUCGAAACACAAACAUUUUCAUACAUAAUAAGCUAUAGAUAUUAGGAAGUCAUAAUAAUAUAAUACAGUAAAAUAUUUUAAAUAAAUACAUUAUUUUGUAGACCACAUAACUGACACAGCUUUAAUAAGUUAUACAUUUUGUAAAAUUAUUUUAAACAUAAAAGCCUAUUGUCGGUAAGCUAUUAAAAAAAGAAAAUAGACGUGUCAAUCUUUAAAGUUUUUGCGAUAAAAAUGGAUGCGAUUAUUAAGGUUUCCGAUGUUGAAAGAUAACUGAACAAUACUUUAAACAGUUUAAACAACAGUAUUGACAUAGCUAAUUUUAGUGAUCGUAAAUCCCAUUAUUUAUGAUAAUUUAUGAGAUAUCAUCUUACUUUAUUAUACGUCUAUUCGUUUUAGUAAUACUGCAGCUUCAGACUUGGCAAACGUCAUCAAUCUCACAAAAAGUCGAAACAAAAAUAAACAUAAACGGUUAAAUACGUAUUUUUUUAUUCCGUUAAUUAUUAUAUUAAUUAUAUUUUUGAACGAAUAUACAUAGGUAGAUGCACACUUCAAUUAUAGUCGUAAAUUAUCAAUGAAGAUGCGAUUAAAUUGUACAUAUUAUUUUCGCUAAAUUUUUACUACUUUAUAAUUUAUUAUUAAAAACGAAACGUGUCAGCUUAGAACUGUCUUUACAAGACGUCACAUUAAUGAGUUGUGAAAUACUGCAGUUUUAUAUUAUACGUAUAAAUAUAAUUUAUUUUACUUUCGUACAAUAUUAUAUACGCACAGUUGCACAGAUAAGUCAUUAUCGGCAGAUGAACUGUCGGUGGCAAGCUAAUUAUAUUUCAACGAUAUUAUUAACGAAUAACAAACAACUUGAGCCGGGAACAAACUAUUGUGUUGCUAAAAAAAAAGACAGUUUUGAAAACUUUAACACAGUUAACUUUCACAGUCAAACAAACCGACCGGAAAGUGUUUAAAUUAUCGUUAAAACAACUUUGUAAAUAUAUAAUAUAUAUACACAAAAUAAUAUGCUGGAAUGUUGUAGUUUUUACAGAUCAACUAAACGUGAAACGAACAUAAUAUUUUCAGACAUUUUUCGGCGUGGGCACAUAAGUACAGCGUGUUGUGGGUACAUAUUUUUAUUAUUAUUAUUAUAAUGCUGGAUUUUUGGUUAGACGUUUUAUUUUUAGCGUAUUAUAUACGAUCGCAUUUGUUUACGACUAAAUAAAAUAACAAGAUGAUAUGUGCAUAGUAACGGUAUGAUAUCCUAGAACAUCAAAAACAAAAAUGGAAAUAAAGAUAUAAACGUAUUUUAUGUUUUUCGUCUGAACGUAUAGCUUUAUUUUUUAAAGUUUUUUUAUACGCGCUGCAGAGUUUUAGGAAAAAUAAGAGUAGAUAUAUAAGUGCAUCAUAACAUAUUGUAAAAUAUUAUGCACAAUAAACCUUAAAGUCAAAUGGCAAUAGGAUUAGUUUCCUCUGCUAAAACUGUUGUUAUUGUUUUUUUUUUUAUAUAACGCAUAACGUACAAUAACGCGUAAUAAUUAUUGUGCUCGCAAGAAUAUUAUAAUGUAUAUAUUGUAAUUCUUAUGUAAAUGAUACAACUACUUAUGUAGUUGGCAAAGAAAUGUUCUUUUUUUUUUAUUACAAAUAAUAGCACAGUUAUACCUACCUAUAAUACUUAUGUUAUUAAUAAUUACCGAUGUAAACAAUUGUAGUACUUAAAUGAUGCGAGUAAGAUAAUAUAAUAUAAUAUUAUUAUGUCAUAAUAAUAUUGUACUACAAUAUAGUUUUGUUUUCAAAAACAUAAUUAUGCGAUUAAGUAUAUUUUUUUAGUAGGUACACUGUAGCAUACAUUUUUAUAUUCCAUAUGGAAAUAUACGAUAUGACAAUUGAUAAUUAUUGAACACAAUGUCUUAUUCAUAUAUUUAAUUGAUCUUUGUUGUAGUUACAUAUUUAUAUUUCUAACGUGAUUAUUUGCAUAAGAAUACAAAAUGAAAUGUAUAGAUGCAACUAAUAUUAUGUCAUUUAACAUUAAUAACAUUUCGUGGCUAAUAAAAGUUAGGUAUAUGGUUAACGGUCAUGUAACACAGGCCAGAGGGUAGUAAAUUGUAAUACGUAUAGGGUGACAAUUUUGAAAUGUGUGUAAUAUUAUUUGUGGAAGGUUUUCAUAGCAGAUUGAUUUAUAACCCCAAACAAAUUAAUCACGAAAACAGACUAAUCGUUUUCAUUUACCUAUGUAUACUUAUAUUAUCAAGUACCUACUACAGUAUUCUAAUAUAUUAUGUACAUACAAAAUUAAUAUGUGUAUUUAUUAGGUGAUUUUUUUUUAUUAUUAUUAUUUAUUAUCCUCAUCACGUUUGAGCUAAGGUAACCUCGCAAAGUCACAAUCCAAUUUUUUAUCGAGACAAACAAAAUACUUCAUCACCCAAAUUUAAAAGGUUGAUCUAAAAAUACAUUAAAAUAAUACCCGAAGUGAGUAAUAAAGUAAAUGGAUGACGAUUGUUCUUUACAUAGAGUGGCCGUGUAUUAAACCGUUUUUAAUCCUGCAAAUAAGAAUUUAAUAAACGAUUUAUUAGAACAAAACUUUUAACCACAACAAAAUACCACAAUGUGUAUCUAUUUUCAUAAUAUUAUAAUGAUAUUUGUUCAAUUAGGGAGGAGUCCUCUAGCAAGAACAAUAUUCUUUUAUUAGAGAAUAUUUUCAUAAAAUUGUUUAGUAGGUAUGUAAAUCUAAUAUCAGAAAUAUCACAUAUUAUUAUUGGUAAUGAACUAUAACGCAGUUUAAAAUUUAGUUCAGACAUGGAUAGUAAGUGGAAAAAUACAUUUCUUAUUUUUUUUUUUAGAAUGUAUAGUAAUAACAUUUUAAUGAUAUUCAAUAAUAAUAUACUAAAUAGUUUAAUGCUCAACAAACAUUUUGUCAGAUGUUUGGUGGGCUUUUACUUUAUUAAAUAUUAUUUUAAAGAAUAUUAAACUCAAAUACACAUAGAUUUGGUUUAUUUUUUAACACAUUGACGGUCACACCAUGCUAUAGCAUUCAUGAUUUUUAAAAGGUACAAUUUAAUUUACAAGAUAUCAUGAAUGCCAUAUAGUAUUUGCUGGAGUCUGAUAAAAAAUAUCUCACCAAUUAAAAGUCACGGCCGUCAAUGUGUUAAAAAAAAUCUAUGACAAUCAGUGUAUACGAUGUUAUAAGGAAGAAAGUACCAGGUAAAAUAUUUUACCAUACAAAAUAAUGGUGUAUAAUUAAUGUGUAAAUAAUAUUAUAAUUUGAACGUGAUAUGGGCCAUAUUAUUAUUCAUCAUAUUAUUAUCGUCGGCGGCUUUGGUAAAUAAAUCGCGAUCCAUCGGGAGAUGUCGUUACAGUAUAAUAAUAUGUUGGACAAAAAAUUGUACUGGCAGGUGAAAUGGGAGAUGACCGUUUUAUUAUUUCGCAAUUUUCACAAGUUUGUGUAAAUGUGGGAUUUCCAUAAUUUCCACGCACCUCCCAUGAUCCGAAAGCUUUCGAACAAUAUAUAAUAAUUAUAUAUUAUGUACUCGUGUUUUAUAAAGUGACAUCACUCAAUAGAAAAAAAUUGUGGUAGGGGUUGAAAAAUAUAAUAAAAUACCUACAGUCAAUAUCCACUAACUUAUACACAUUCUUGUGAGGGUUCACUCCUUUAUUACAUCUAUAAACUUAGGUAUAAUAAUACCAUACAGUUGAAAAGAAAUAACCGAUAAAUCUGUCCUGUCAGUGACGGUGGGAAACACAUUGCUCGUCUCGCUUAUUUGCUCAAGUUGGCGCAGUGUAAUAUAUAUUUUUUUACUAUCAUUCAGUCAAAUAUUUACGAUUCCUCCUCUCUGUACGUAUAUUGAGUUAUUGAAUAUUGCAUUAUGAAAAAAAGUAACUGACGCGUUGCGUUAAGAGGACAUGUUGUCUCCAUCUUAAAAUUAGUGAAUAACCAGCAGAACACGUGUAGCUCUGUUAAUUUAAAAAUUAUAGUGAAUUUACCUCUUACAAAAUCUAAAAGUAAGUUUAUUAUCUAGUCAACAUCAUGAUUUUUUCAUUAUAUUUUAAUUUUAAAGCAAGUUAUGAGUAUUUUAAAAUUGUAAAUUGUAUGUACAUAUCAUACAGCGUACACAUUUAUACCUAUAAAUUAUGCACUGAUAUUGUGAUAGAUAUGUGAUCGUUUAAAGCGAAAAGACGCAACGUGUAAAUUAUAAUGCAAUAAACUAGGGAGCAAGACCUCUUAUAUUUAUUGUUAAUUUAUAUUAUAUUACCAACAGAUGUACUACUCGAAUUUUCUCGAGAAAAAAUGAACACAUAUAAAAUACGUCAUUUUAUUAAUGGUAUUUUGAUUUUAGUGUGCCUCAGUUCACGGGAAAUUCGGCGUCAGUGUACCUCGCUUUGUAAACUAUUUCGAUCAAGAUUGUGAAUCUGCCAGCUGUGUCAGAUUGUAUCAGCCACUCGGUAAAUUUUCAAACGUGGUUCAAAGUAUACUUUAAACUUUUUCGAUAUAAAUAAUUUUGUGAAAUUUUCAUACAAAUCAGGCGAGUGGCUUUUGAGUAUACAAGCUACGCACAUACGGACAGUAACCAACAGCAACCUCAUAUAUUUACAAGAAAAUAUUAGAUAUUCAUAAGCAAAAAUUAAAUUAAUUUGUGAGUCACCCUAUAGCAAGGGGUUGAAAAAUGAAGCUAUCUGAGCCUCAAAGAAUAUAUGUGCAUGAUUUGGUGUCAAUUGGUUCAGCAGUUUCCAAAUCUAUAUAAGCUCACCACAAACGUGCACUGAUGGAUAAAUUAUAUCGCGAACAUAUAUAUAUAUAAUUGUGCUUCAAAAUACUACACUUCAGAUAAUUUUAAAGUGAUAUAAAAGUCAAAAAAAUUAUUUAUAAAAAUUGAUUAAAAUAAUAAUCUUGAAGACUUCGUAAUAAUAGUAAUAAUAAUAGUUUGAUUAAAAAUCGCACAUAAUUUAAGAAUGUUUUUUGAUACUUCAUUUACUAAAGUAUCAGCGUACCUAAAUAUUUAAAUUUGAAUUGGUUUCCUUAAAAUUGAUCAUAACUUUUUUUAAAUUUUAAUGAUAUAUAGGCAUAGCAUUGGAAUUUUAAAUCUGAAAUUACUUUUCAAUCUUAAUAUGAACAUUACAUGUCAUACUAGAUAUUAUAUGUCAGACUUUAGGGACGUUUUUUUGACAUGUAGUCGCGCAUGAGAGAUUGAACUAAGAAACCGGAUAACAAGACUUGGUGUCACGGCCUCAAGAUCCAAGAUUUUGUCGUAUAUGUUACGAUAUUUUUUGCACAUAAUUAUCAUAAUGACUCACAAUACGCCCACGCGCAUAUUAUAGAAAAUCUGAGGUUUAUUAUUAAGGUGUAAGUAACGUCAACCGCGGUGAGUUGGCGUAUCAUACGUCAUAUAUGUGAGUUUGUGAUGGCGGAGCCAACGAGGGUAGCGGUAAUAAAUAAUAAUAAUAAUUAUUAUAAUAAUACAGCGAAUAGCCAAUUUUACGAAACCAUAAUUUUUGCAACAAUUGAUUAAGUACUGUAUUAUUUGCCUGCUUCCACCCACGCGAUAUAGAUACUUAAUAAUAUAAUAUUAUGCUACAAGACGAUCGACUUACAUAUGAAUAUUUCUAAUACGUAUUGUGUAUUAUUUUAAUGACAAUGUGUUAGGUCAGUCGUAAAAAAAUAAAAACAAAUUAUAAAAUAUACGUGUACAGGUAUGCUUAUUAUUAUUACACUGUAUUGAAAUCGCAUCGUGAUUUACAUUAUUUUAAUGGUACUUAUUUAAUUAAUAUAAUCGUAUACCACUAAGCGCGUAUUAUCGUUCGAAAACGGCUGCAACUAUCAUAAUUCAUAGUAUUAUACUGUUUGUAUUUUCAUAUUCACAAGACGAUAGUAGGUAUCUAAUAUUAUAGAUUUUUUUCACGGAUUAAUGAUUAAUACAAUUAUUGUAGAAUUGGACCGUUUUUCUGUGUCAAUACAUUUAAUUUCACGUUUUCACGAUUUAUAUAUUUCAGUCAUAUAAUAUAACUGUUAAUAAUUUCUACACAGCACAACUAAGCGUAGAUAAUCUAUACGCAUAUAUUAUAUAGGUAACAGAUAAUUUACAAGUAAUGUUUAUGUGAAAAAUCUGCGUUUAAUAAGCUUGUUGAGUUUUAUUUGAACAAAGCAGCUUUGGUAUCGAAAUCUGUUAAAAUUGUGUUCAACAUUUUAAAUACACUAAUCGCACCGAUAGCUCGUGAAAUAUUAUAUUUACGCAAAACCAAAUACAAUAUUGUAAUCUUAGAAAAUAUGGAAACACCCGAAAUCGCACACAACUGGCGGUCGUCUACAACUGCUACCCCUAUAGUUCUAUGUAAUUCGUCAUGAAACGAAAUAAUAUUCAUACAUAUUAUAUUAUGAGACGAGAAGGCAAAAUAUAAUAUGUAUAAUAUAUCAUAUUUGAAUAAAAAUAUUAAUAUACGCUGUACAUCUCAAAAUAAAAUUAUCAACAAAUUGCAUGAACGCACACACACAUAUAUGUAUAUACAAAAACUAUGCGAUGAUCGCACGCGGUGUAUGACGCACGGGGAUUAAAACCUUUGAAUAGAGUUGAGACUUGUUGUGUGUGGUGGGGAGGAGGGGUGGCAGUGGCAUGGUGGUUAAUGGAAGGCUUCAGAGGGACUCGCCGAUCGAGCCCGGUUUCCCGGGGAAACCGGCAUUGUACUCCAAUUAUUCAUUGUUCGCGUCUCGUUAUUAGCGAUGUCAAAAAUAGAAACUAAAUAAUUCUUCAAUAUAACACAAUAUUUGUAGGGAGAGAGAGAGAGAAAAAGAUAGGUAGAGAGACAGAGAGAUAAAAUGGCCAAAGUGAGAGAGAGAGUUGAGUUAUACUUUGACUCAUAAUUCAACCGACUCCAACCGAAAAAUCAAUAAAUAAGCUAGGCGACGUAUAAUUAAAAUACACAUAUUAUAAUACUACAUGUAUGCGAUAUAUAAUAAUAUUAUAGUGAUAUAUAUAUACCAUGAAAAUAACGUCGCACGCGCCAUCCACCCCCGGCGUUGGGCAGCAUUAAUAAUAUGACGACGAAAAACAAUAAUAAUUAUUAAUUAAUAACAAAACUGUAUUGAUUCUGAAAAUAUAAUAUGCGAGAGACCAUCGUCGCCAUAAACGCAUACAUCACGAAAUAUAUAAUUUUAUAUUACCUGCACGUUUCGAUAAUGAUCACAUUAUUAUUAUUAUUAUUAUUAUUAUUACACAUAACUCGGUUAUAUUAUUACCGUCAUGAUAAUACGACCCAAGCGCUGACCUUUUUAGGCGUAGGCGCGCGCGGUCGCGAUAUUAUAUUAUAAUAAUAUAAUAUCCUCGAAAUGACCCUAAUAUAUUAUUAUAAUACAUAUGCUAGUAAAGUAGCCGACAUUCGUCUCGGCCAUAAACGCUGAUAACCCCACGUGGUAGUGUACCUAUAUGUUAUUGUUAUUAGGACAGUCGACGGUGUAGGUAUUAUAUAUGAGCAUAGUUGCAUAGAUAAUAUUAUUAUUCAAAAUUUUUUUUAUUUAUUGGAACAAUCGAUGUAUUUUAUAUAGAAAUGGAUGCCCAUGAUGUUGCGUGCCCGAAGACAAAACUAUAGUAACAGUGGUUACAUGAAUAAAUUUAUACCUAUCAACAACGACAAUAAAUAUCACCAAUUGAGUUGAAAGUUCUUACCAGACUCAUCGUAUAUUCGUAACCGUAUAAUAACCACAGCUAACCGCCGCUGCGGUAUCUAUACUGUUUUAUUCGGGAAAUGCAAAUAUAAAAUAUAUAGGUGUAUAAUGUAUACAGAGAGAUAAAAAAUAUGUAUAUAUUAUGUCUAUGUUUCAGGCACAGGUUUUAGCUAUCCGUGUAUUAGGUGUAGGUAGGCCCUAUCAAUUUCUUUAUUAUCUCUAUAUAAAAGUAUUAUUACGUACGUAUACUAAACGAUCAGCAUAUUAUUAUAUCGUUACAAUAACGCCGCCGUGCAAUCCCCAGUCGCAUCGGCGUUAUAACCCGCAGAUUAUAGGUAUAAUAAUAAUAUAAGCUGAUCACGUGUGGUCUCGAACAACGAACGAAAAUCAAUUUACGAUUGUAAUUUUUUGUAAAAGGUCAUUUAAAUAUAAUAUUCUAGAUACGACUGCAACUCGCUUCAGAGCUGCGUCAAAUAUUUGCAAAUUGUUGUCUCGACGCACAGGUCUAGAUAGUGUAUGAUAGAAUAUUUUCGUUACGAUACGCUUGUAGUGCUACCGCUAAAAUUGUCAUAUUAAUGCAAUUUAAACCAAACUCAUCAGGUAUACCGUUGGAUAAAAUAUGCUAACCUAACCUAACCACAUAACACUUUCCUGGAUUGUUAUUUUCCAAACUUCCAAACUUUCGUCGGAAGCAAAGUAAAUAAUAAUUUUUCUCGCAGGUUUGUUGGAAAUAAGAGUGCAUAUUUAUGAUUACAAUUCAUCUAUUGUGAAUUUCUCAUACAUAUAUUUUCUAAAUCGCAUUAUAAGCCACCUGGCCAUAAGCAUAACGAUAUGGUGACAAAAAUCAUAAUACUAAAAUAAUAAUAUGUACCUGAUACCUGCACAUGCAUGGACAUCAAGUCAGAUAUCCCCGAGAGCUUAUUAAACAUUUUUUUCCGCGGGGAUUUGUAACGAUGUAAGUACCUACAUAGUUUGUCUAAUAUUGUAAUAAAAUAUUUGGUGCCAUCGGUCGACUGAAAUACGUGAGUUUAGGUAUAUUGUACAGAUUAUAUAGAAGCGAAGUCCCUCUUUGCAAUAUACUUGACAAGAUAAACUCAAAACAAGGAUUGUAGUGGUGUAUAUAUGGUAUGGUAAAUUAUUCCUACAAGAAACCUGUUGAUAAUAUAGGUGACUGAUGUGCAUCCGAACCUAUAUAGGAACGUCUGGAACGUAAUCUUUGAAAAACAGUGGUGAGUAUCGUAGGGCUGGGGAUGGUAAUAUUAUCAUGAAUACUGUUAUGGAGGGUCGAAGAAGACUAUAAUUUCGUCACACUGACCAACGCCACUUGUGGAUGGCUGUAUAGCUGAAUACGAUUCAUUGGAAAAUCGUCGUGAAUGGUACGGUGAAAAAAAAUGGACGCUUUCUUCACAGCUUAGAAGAUUAUGGGAACAGUUUUCAGGUUUUCUUUUGGUUUCCGUUUAUAGUGUUUGUGAACGAAUCUUCAUAAUAAAAUAGUUCUGUGCAGUGCGACGAAGUUGGUUUCGAAUCUCGAUUUAUUUUCUACCACGGUUUUUGUGACACCGUUCGUGAUUUUGAAGAUAUUACAUUAUCAUAAUUCGAUGUGUCCUGUGCAGUUGAAGUUUUGAUCGACUUUGGCCCAACGAUUAGUGCCGCCCAUUUCCAGAGGAUUUUGGGUGGUUGACUCGUCAUUCGUUAAGAUAAGACCAGACACAAAGUCAAUAUAUACUAAUAUAAUAUUAUUCGCAGCUUGCUCUUAAGAAUAUUCGCAGUUUCACCCUCCUUUACUACCAUUUUUUAGAAGUCAGAAUUGUUCGUUUGAUUGUUGGUAUAUUCUGACAUACCAUCAUCAAACUAUGUCGGAGCACGAGUUUGUUGUGCAACUAUUUAUAAUUAUUAUUAUAUUAUUAUAAUGUUAUUAUGUCGUAUUAUAAUUGCUUGUGCAGUACUCGACGAUAACGAGGAAAAUAUCGCGUACCAAAUAUUAUUUAGUAUAAUAUAGAAGCGGGUCGCAAAAGCAGAUAAAAUAAGCUGUCCUUUUUAUUUUUCGGUGCAAACAAGUCCUAUACCCACAUAAUAAUAUACAUAUUGUACACUCGUUUUAAAAGGACGAUUGUUACAGCGCGUGCCACUUGAACCCUCUCCCGCAGUGGCGUCGAUAAGAGUAUUAUAUUAUGUUAUAUAGGUUGCACUGUACACCACCACUCGAUGUGCGCGUCGUGUCAUUCGCGACCCGAACAAAUUAGGAUUUUUGUUUUGUUUUUUCGGGAAACACUUCGAGUUUUUUCGUCUACAGUCAUAUUAUUACGCAACAAUCGUGUUCACGUGUGUGUGUGUGGGAUUACAUCAUCGUCACCAUUGUCAUCGGGGCUGUAGUCUUUUUUCUUUUUUUUUUGUAUUCCGUAAAGUCCCAUCUAUAUAUAAUAUACAUUAUAUUGUAUCUCAUCCUCUUCCACUAUUAUAUACGCGAUGCUGGUAAAUUACACGUCGUUAAACGCGUUUUCAGUUAGUAGCGAGUUUAUAUAUAUAGUUUAGUGUUGUGUAACAAAUAGCGUAGUCGAACGAUCGAGAACGGAGGGAAAAAAAAGUUUAAAUCGAGAAACGUGUGAAACCUACCUCUGGUGUAUUAUUAUUAUAUAUAUUGUGCGGGGCGGUGUUUAAUUUUAUUUCUAUAACGAGUUAAGGCGAUGCGUCUUCAACAGGAGUCCGAUUGAUUGUACCAGCAACUAUGUAUCACCGUCGUGAGAAGCCAUUUUAACGUGUACAUAUAAGAAUGUUUAAAAGCCUUCGAAAAUAACACCUUACUUGUUUUUAAAUACAUAAGUCCAUCCAUUUCCUUUAGGUAGGUAUAUUGCACGUUGAACAUUUUAAGUCAUUCGUUUUGAGUGUUCGUAGAACGAUAUUUGUAAAUGUUUGGUAUUCUUUGGAUAUAUUAUAAUAUUAGUUAAAUAAAUACAGAACAAAUAUAAUAUAUAAUACAUAAUAUUAACUUUACUGUUAUUCGUAUAAUAUACCGGAAGAAGGCGAGGGACCUUUGUUGCGUCAAAAUAUGUUUCUAGCGCUAUCGCUAAAAGCCGUCCAUCUGAUUUUAUUUAUUUACACAAUCGGUCACAAAAACGGUUAUAGUAAAAUAAAUAUUAUAUUAAGCCGUUGAAUCAUAAUAGUUUAUAAUACGGAAACCUAAAAGUUUUGAUGGAAAGCGUGUGGGAGAGAUGUGAAUGAAAAAUGAGAAUAAUUUAUUUUAGAAAUCGAUCGGUUUAAAUCGUAAUAUUAUUGAACGUUAUGAUACGACAGUAGUAUUCAGAAAAUUGUCGUACAAAAUCAUAGCUUAUUCUAGCUUCUACAACAAACUGUCUUGUAUAAUAAUAGUACCUAAUAAUAGUAUAUUAUGAUAAUAUCGUGAGAUGCAUUAUUUUUGCCGUCGUUGUUUUCAUUAUGAUAAUAUAUUGUAUAAUGAAUUAUAAUCCAAAAUAAUGUAGCUAUUCGGGCUUCCGAGACAUUUUCAUAUCGUGUAAAUACAUUUAUAAUCAGUUUCUUCUUUUAUCGCAGUAAACAAGUUUUUAAAAUUGUCACCCGUCUUUUAAUGUCUUUAAAUAUUUUACCACCGGGCAAAGUAUGAGUUUAUUUUAUUUUUGUUGGUCCGAAGAUUAAUGCUGUUGUAUUAGUUAUUCGGUAGCUUUCUGAAUAUUAAACCGUCCUUAAAUAUAGGACGGGGGCUACUGGGUUGUGUUUAACAUAUUUUCCGAAUAAUUAAUAGUACCUAAAGUUUCAUGCUCCUGCAGUGUAUAUAUAGUUUGAAAACAUAUUUAAUAUAUAUAUUAUUAUAUAUUAUAUUAAACGUAUAUAUAUAUAUAUACGUUUAAUUAAACGCUAUACGCCUAAAUAUAUAUAUAUUAUAUGAACCUCCUAUCGUAUAAAUAUCCAAAAAUUUGGUGCUACCCGAGUCGUAAAAAAAGUUUGGAAACGACUUGUAAUUUCCAUAAACUUUUAUUUACGAAUUUACAUAAUAAUACAUUUAGCAUUUUUUCAGAUUUUUACAACGAUCUUAAGUAUAAAAUCGGACGUAUUUACGAUGAAUUUAUUUGAAAAAAAUAAACUAAGCAUACCUAUAUUAUAUACCUCGUCCCCUUUGCGCGCGUCGUUACUGCGGCAGUAUUUAUGUCUUGGGAGACCUGAACUUUGAACUAAUAGUAAUUACGUUUUAAACUGUAUAGGUAUAGUGUGAUAUUCAAACAACGGGCAUAUACAUUGCGGCCUGCGAGAUAAUAAUAAUGAUUACACGCGUUCUAAAUAAUAACCGACAAAUAUUCUUCAUAUUAUAAUCUCAAAGUGAUAAUUAAAUUUAAUGGAACAAAGUUUGAACAGUUGUUAGCGGCUAUGAUGCGAGCGAACCGCUAAUAAUUUGGGAUCAAAAUUACGCGAGGCACACGCAUACAAUAUUUUGAUGCGUGUGAUGUAUAUAUAGACGUGAUUAAUUACACGUCUUAUAUUCGUCAUAUAACAUCAUAUGAAACAAAUGACCGAUUAAAUUCUGUGCACAGGGCGCGGGUGACGUAAAGCUUUUGAGAGAUUUUCGUACAUAAAUAAUAAUAUUAGUACUAUGGUCUCCGCUAUUGGCGUUUAUCCGAUCCACGAAUUAUGUGUCACCACGGAUGGCCGGGGGAUUUUAUAGUAUAAUAUUGUAAGCCACGCGAUAUCGAGAUAAAUCUAAUCCCC